rnacentral:rRNA from 1 species
GAUGAACGCUGACAGAAUGCUUAACACAUGCAAGUCUUUGGCGAAGCUGUGCUUGCACAGCCUAGCCAAGGCGGACGGGUGAGUAACGCGUAAGGAACUUGCCCUGCAGUCAGGGAUAACAGACGGAAACGACUGAUAAGACCUGGUAAAGUCAGGCGGACUCAUGUCCAGCCUGAUGAAAAGAGAUGCUGCAGGAGAGCCUUGCGUCCUAUUAGCUUGUUGGUGGGGUAACGGCCCACCAAGGCGAUGAUAGGUAGCCGGCCUGAGAGGGUGGACGGCCACAAGGGGACUGAGAUACGGCCGUUACUCCUACGGGAGGCAGGAGUGGGGAAUAUUGGAAAAUGGGGGCAACCCUGAUACAGCAAUUCUGUGUGCACGAUGAAGGUUUUCGGAGUGUAAAGUGCUUUCAGCAGGGAAGAAAAAAAUGACGGUACCUGCAGAAGAAGCGACGGCUAAAUACGUG